AAGUUUUUGGUUUCAUAAAAUAUUAUGUUGGAGUUGGAAAAAAUCAUAUUUUGGAACCCUAGGAACAAAAUUUCAAACUCGAAUCUUCCCCUAACUCGAAUAUGCAGAAUAUCUAAUUCAAACAUGGUGCCCUAGAUUGAAUAUAAAAAAUAUCUCAUUCAAACGAUGAUGCAUGUGUGCCCUAGACUUUUCAAAAUGAGAAAUUUGAAAAGGACAGAGUGAGGAAAAUUUACUGAGCUGGAAGUCAUUGUUGGUCUAGUUCACUGCCUUGUCGCUCUUUGUCUUUGUGGUCCUUGGUGGGGUCAUUGUGUCUCUUGUGACACCUAUAUGUCUCUAUGACAUGCCUCAAUAUUUGUCUCUUUUUCAUUUGGUGAUUUGGUGGGGUCUUUAUCCACCUUUGUGGAGUGUUUGGCAAGGGAUGCAGGGUCAAGGGUUUUGUUUGGUAGAGGAUGCAAGGGCCGAGCGAAUGACUGUGGGUUCAGUCGAAUGGGGUUAGGUGAAUGUGAAUUGGGUUGGGUUUUGUGCGAAUGGGGUUAGGGGUCGGGUUCUGUGUGAAUGGAGAAUGCGAAUGGGGCUGGGUUAUGGAUCUGUGCAAAUGGGAAUGGGGCGGGGUCUGUGCUUGUAUCAUAUAUAUGUUUACAAUAUAUAAAAUAUUUUAUUUUUAUAAAUAUUAUAUAUUAUAUAAUAUUUUUUAUAUUAUAUAUUAUAUUAUAUGUUAUAUUUUAUAUAAUAUAUUAUAUGUUAUAUGAAUAUGUUAUAUAAUAUAUAGUUUUUGUUCAUGAUAUCGACAAGUUCCCUCGGUGUAGAUAUUGGUGGUAGUAGCAAAUAUUCAAAUGAGAACUUUGAAGACUGAAGUGGGAAAAGGUUCCAUGUGAACAACACUUGGACAUGGGUUAGUCGAUCCUAAAAGAUGGGGAAGCCCUAUAUCAAGGGUUCACUCUACACAAACAUCGUAAGGGAAUUGGGUUAAUAUUCUCGAACCAGGACAUGGCAUUGGAAAACAACAUUAGGAAAUCUAGAGACGUCGUCGGGAGCCCCAAGAAGAGUUAUCUUUUAUUUUUAAUGGCUUUCCUACUUUGAAAUCGGUUCAAACGGAGAUAGGGCUCAGUAGCUGGAAGAGCACCGCACAUAUUUCAGUGUUCGAUGCCCUGUUGAUGACCAUUGAAAAUAUGGAGGACCGAGUACCAUCCAUGCUCAAUCAUACUCAUAAUCGCAUCAAGUAUUCAAGGUGAACAACCUUUGGUUAAUAGAACAAUGUAGGUAAGGGAAGUCGACAAAAUGGAUCCGUAGCUUUUGGAAAAGGAUUGGAUCUAAGGAUUUGGCCUAGGUGUCUACAUAUUCAACUCGUGGGCAUUCGACAAUCUUCCCGAGAUGCUCUUGCGGCGAGGGCAGGUUGUCAUGUGUCGAUUGGGCUAUGGACAUAUAAUGUCCCCUUGUGGGGGAUUUUCCGUAGGUGGCAAAAAGUCAACUCAAAACUGGUACGGAGAAGGGGAAUCCAACUUUUUAAUUAAAACAAAGCAUUGUGAUGGUCCCUAGAUGAUGAUGCAAUGUGAUUUCUUCCCAGUGCUCUAAAUGUCAAAGUGAAUAAAUUCAACCAAGAGCAAGUAAACGAUGAGAGUAACUAUGACUUUAUUAAGGUAGCCAAAUUCCUCAUCAUCUAAUUACUGGUGUGCAUGAAUGGAUUAACGAUAUUCACAUUGUCCCUAUCUAGUAUCUAGUGAAACCACAUCCAAGGGAAUGGGCCUGGUAGAAUCAACAGGGAUAUCUAAGACCCUUAUAAUCAGAGGGGAUAUCUCCAUGAAACUUGAAUUAAAUGGUCUCCCCUAACACAAUCACUCUCUCACAUAUUAUGACCCAAACAAUGUUAACCCCUAAGACACUAUAUUGGCCUUGAACACACAAACCCCUUGAUACACCUUGACACUUAAGCCAUAUGAAACCUAAUGCAAUAACUCCUUAAUACCUUAUGACCAAAAAAACACUAAGCCAAUAAUAUGCUAUGACCACUAAUAAUCCCUAUAUAUGAAACUUGACAAAGCUAAUCAUUGAAAUUGCAAUCACCCCCUUACAUAUAGAAACCAUGAAGACAUGAACCCCAUAAGAAACUAUAAUCCCAAAUUCAUUAUCCCCCUAUAAAUUCAUUACCCAUUAAUACAUUAUGAUGUCAAACACACUAACCCUCUCAUACACAAACCCAUUAAUACAUUAUUACUUUGAAUACAUUAAUCCUCUAAUAGAAUUUUAUCAUUGAUCCCUUUAAUGAUCCUUGAUGAAAUCACCUGCUAAUAAUUAUGACUUUGAACACAUUAAUGAAUCCCUAUUAUAUGAUAACCCCCAAUCACUAUCAAAUUGAACAUGGUAUACCCUCUUAUCCCUAUCACUCUUUAAACAAUCACCCCUAGUGAACAUAGUGUGACCUCAAUCACACUAGCAAAUGAAUACAUUAUGGUUCUGAACAUAGUAAGAUCAUAAUAGAUUGACCCUACUAAUACACUAUGACUAACCCCAUAUUUUCUAUCACAUUCUUGUGUAUUUUGUUU
rnacentral:rRNA from 1 species